GGGGCAGUAGCCCAAUUGGCAGAGGCAAGGGACUUAAAAUCCCUCCAGUGCGGGUUCGAAUCCCGCCUGCCCUA
rnacentral:tRNA from 1 species